GUCUAGCGUGGUGGGGAGAGCCUUGAGAGUUGAGGGAGCCAGGCGGGAGGCGAGUAUGCAGGCGCACGUCGAGGGAGAGGGUAGCACUGGUGGGAGGAAUCUAUGUGGUCCUGGAGAUUCUGGUAGGAGGCGCUGUCAUGCCCGACAAGGUGGAGGGGCAGCCAGCCCUCGUGGUCCUGGGGAUCGGAUGGAAGGUGUCUACGCGCCCCCAUCCAUCUCAAGACCUUUCCUCGGGUUUUCCCAGAUCCCCUGGGGGCCGACGCCUUCCUGCCGGCGCUGACCGAGGAACUCAUCUGGAGCCCGGACAUUGGGGAGACGCAGCUGGACGUAGAGUUUCUUAUGGAGCUCUUAGAUCCAGAUGAGCUGCAGGGAGAGGCUGGGUACUACCUGACCACGUGGUUUGGGGCGCUGCACCACAUUGCCCACUACCAGCCCGAAACAGACCGCGCUCCCCGGGGGCUCAGCUCCGAGGCCCGCGCCUCCCUGCACCAGUGGCACCGCAGGCGGACGCUGCACAGAAAGGAUCAUCCCAGAGCCCAGGUGACUGCCCAUCUGG
rnacentral:sRNA from 1 species